UGGGGAAUCUUGCACAAUGGGGGAAACCCUGAUGCAGCGACGCCGCGUGAGCGAUGAAGGUUUUCGAAUCGUAAAGCUCUGUCCUAUGGGAAGAUAAUGACGGUACCAUGGGAGGAAGCCCCGGCUAACUACGUGCCAGCAGCCGCGGUAAUACGUAGGGGGCGAGCGUUGUCCGGAAUUACUGGGCGUAAAGGGUUCGCAGGCGGCAUGGCAAGACCGAUGUAAAAGGCGAAGGCUCAACCUUCGUAAGCAUCGGAAACUGUCAAGCUUGAGUGAAGGAGAGGCAAGUGGAAUUCCUAGUGUAGCGGUGGAAUGCGUAGAUAUUAGGAGGAAUACCGGUGGCGAAGGCGACUUGCUGGACUUCAACUGACGCUGAGGAACGAAAGCGUGGGUAGCAAACAGG
rnacentral:rRNA from 1 species